rnacentral:rRNA from 1 species
UACGUAGGGUGCAAGCGUUGUCCGGAAUUAUUGGGCGUAAAGAGCUCGUAGGCGGUUUGUCGCGUCGGCUGUGAAAGCCCGGAGCUCAACUCCGGGUCUGCAGUCGAUACGGGCAGACUUGAGUGUUGCAGGGGAGACUGGAAUUCCUGGUGUAGCGGUGAAAUGCGCAGAUAUCAGGAGGAACACCGGUGGCGAAGGCGGGUCUCUGGGCAACAACUGACGCUGAGGAGCGAAAGCGUGGGAGCGAACAGG